rnacentral:tRNA from 1 species
AAGAAAUUAGUUAAAUUCAUAACGUGUGCCUGUCACGCAUAAGUUAUCUUCAAGAUAUUUCUUA